rnacentral:rRNA from 1 species
AAUAUUGCACAAUGGGCGCAAGCCUGAUGCAGCGACGCCGCGUGAGCGAAGAAGGUUUUCGGAUCAAAAAGCUCUGUCCUUUGGAACGUAAAAAAAUGACGGUACCAAAGGAGGAAGCCCCGGCCAACUACGUUCCAGCAGCCGCGGUAAUACGUAGGGGGCGAGCGUUGUCCGGAAUCACUGGGCGUAAAGGGUGAGUAGGCGGUAACGUGUGUCAGAUGUUUAAUCUAUGGGCUCAACCCAUAUCAGCAUUUGAAACUGCGUAACUUGAGUGCAGGAGAGGCAAGUGGAAUUCCUAGUGUAGCGGUGAAAUGCGUAGAUAUUAGGAGGAACACCAGUGGCGAAGGCGACUUGCUGGACUGUAACUGACGCUGAGUCACGAAAGCGUGGGGAGCAAACAGG